rnacentral:rRNA from 1 species
CUCCAUGCGCUUAUGUCUUGUAAUUGCGAAUGAUGGGAAUUUAAACCUCUUCCAGAGUAUCAAUUGGAGGGCAAGUCUGGUGCCAGCAGCCGCGGUAAUUCCAGCUCCAAUAGCGUAUAUUAAAAUUGUUGCAGUUAAAAAGCUCGUAGUUGAAUUUCUGCUGCAUUGCAUCUUCUUUUUGAUGAGUUGGUGUAUUGUGGCUUAUUUCGGAUGAUACUUGUAUUAUCCGGAUGAUUACUUUGAGAAAAUUAGAGUGCUCAAAGCAGGCUUUUGCCUUGAAUAGUUUAGCAUGGAAUAAUAAAGUAGGACUUUGGUUCUAUUUUGUUGGUUUUAGGUACCAAAGUAAUGGUUAAUAGAGCCAGUUGGGA